rnacentral:rRNA from 1 species
UACGGAGGGUGCGAGCGUUGUCCGGAAUCACUGGGCGUAAAGGGCGCGUAGGUGGUUCGAUAAGUGUGUGGUGAAAGCCCGGGGCUCAACCCCGGGUCUGCCGUGCAAACUGUCGAACUGGAGGACUGUAGAGGCAGGUGGAAUUCCGGGUGUAGCGGUGGAAUGCGUAGAGAUCCGGAAGAAGACCGGUGGCGAAGGCGACCUGCUGGGCAGUUACUGACACUGAGGCGCGACAGCGUGGGGAGCAAACAGGAUUAGAAACCCCCGUAGUCC